rnacentral:rRNA from 1 species
GACGAACGCUGGCGGCGUGCUUAACACAUGCCAGUCGAACGGAAAGGCCCUGCUUUUGUGGGGUGCUCGAGUGGCGAACGGGUGAGUAACACGUGAGUAACCUGCCCUUGACUUUGGGAUAACUUCAGGAAACUGGGGCUAAUACCGGAUAGGAGCUCCUGCUGCAUGGUGGGGGUUGGAAAGUUUCGGCGGUUGGGGAUGGACUCGCGGCUUAUCAGCUUGUUGGUGGGGUAGUGGCUUACCAAGGCUUUGACGGGUAGCCGGCCUGAGAGGGUGACCGGCGACAUUGGGACUGAGAUACGGCCCAGACUCCUACGGGAGGCAGCAGUGGGGAAUAUUGCACAAUGGGCGGAAGCCUGAUGAAGCAACGCCGCGUGCGGGAUGACGGCCUUCGGGUUGUAAACCGCUUUCGCCUGUGACGAAGCGUGAGUGACGGUAAUGGGUAAAGAAGCACCGGCUAACUACGUG